AUCCAACUGACGAGUCCAAAAUAGGGCGAAAUCCGUGUUGUCCUGGAU
rnacentral:hammerhead_ribozyme from 1 species